rnacentral:rRNA from 1 species
AGCGAACGCUGGCGGCAGGCUUAACACAUGCAAGUCGAGCGCCCCACAAGGGGAGCGGCAGACGGGUGAGUAACACGUGGGAACGUGCCUUUUGGUUCGGAACAACCCAGGGAAACUUGGGCUAAUACCGGAUAAGCCCUUACGGGGAAAGAUUUAUCGCCAAAAGAUCGGCCCGCGUCUGAUUAGCUAGUUGGUGGGGUAAUGGCCCACCAAGGCUACGAUCAGUAGCUGGUCUGAGAGGAUGAUCAGCCACAUUGGGACUGAGACACGGCCCAAACUCCUACGGGAGGCAGCAGUGGGGAAUAUUGGACAAUGGGGGCAACCCUGAUCCAGCCAUGCCGCGUGAGUGAUGAAGGCCUUAGGGUUGUAAAGCUCUUUUAGCAGGGAAGAUAAUGACGGUACCUGCAGAAAAAGCCCCGGCUAACUUCGUGCCAGCCGCCGCCGUAA